rnacentral:misc_RNA from 1 species
GCAAACUUGGUCAUUUAGAGGAAGUAAAAGUCGUAACAAGGUUUCCGUAGGUGAACCUGCGGAAGGAUCAUUAUAGAAAAGAGAAGAAUCAUGGGAUGUUGCUGGUGCAGAAAGCACAAGUGCACUCCCUUGCCAUUUUUCUUUUUCAAUCCAUCUCAUCACACCUGUGCACACAUUGUAGGUUGAGUAAAUCAACCUAUGUUUUUUUUCUUUCACACAACCCUUACAUUGUAUGUGUUGUUGUUUUUAUGAAUAUGAAUACAACUUUCAACAAUGGAUCUCUUGGCUCUCGCAUCGAUGAAGAACGCAGC